rnacentral:rRNA from 1 species
GAUGAACGCUGGCGGCGUGCCUAAUACAUGCAAGUCGAGCGAACGGACGAGAAGCUUGCUUCUCUGAUGUUAGCGGCGGACGGGUGAGUAACACGUGGAUAACCUACCUAUAAGACUGGGAUAACUUUGGGAAACCGUAGCUAAUACCGGAUAAUAUUUUGAACCGCAUGGUUCAAAAGUGAAAGACGGUCUUGCUGUCCCUUAUAGAUGGAUCCGCGCUGCAUUAGUUAGUUGGUAAGGUAACGGCUUACCAAGGCAACGAUGCAUAGCCGACCGGAGAGGGUGAUCGGCCACACUGGAACGGAGACACGGUCCAGACUCCUACGGGAGGCAGCAGUAGGGAAGCUUCCGCAAUGGGCGAAAGCCUGACGGAGCAACGCCGCGUGAGUGAUGAAGGUCUUCGGAUCGUAAAACUCUGUUAUUAGGGAAGAACAUAUGUGUAAGUAACUGUGCACAUCUUGACGGUACCUAAUCAGAAAGCCACGGCUAACUACGUG